rnacentral:rRNA from 1 species
GUGGGGAAUCUUGCGCAAUGGGCGAAAGCCUGACGCAGCCAUGCCGCGUGAAUGAUGAAGGUCUUAGGAUUGUAAAAUUCUUUCACCGGGGACGAUAAUGACGGUACCCGGAGAAGAAGCCCCGGCUAACUUCGUGCCAGCAGCCGCGGUAAUACGAAGGGGGCUAGCGUUGCUCGGAAUUACUGGGCGUAAAGGGCGCGUAGGCGGACAGUUUAGUCAGAGGAGAAAGCCCAGGGCUCAACCUUGGAAUUGCCUUUGAUACUGGCUGUCUUGAGUACGGGAGAGGUGAGUGGAACUCCGAGUGUAGAGGUGAAAUUCGUAGAUAUUCGGAAGAACACCAGUGGCGAAGGCGACAUACUGGUCCAUUACUGACGCUGAGGCUCGAAAGCGUGGGGAGCAAACAGGAUUAGAUACCCCAGUAGUCC